GUUUUUUUUUUUCUUCACCUCCACUCCUUGAUGGAAGUCCACUCGUUGUUGACUUUGUCAGUGCUACAGAAUUCCAAGUGAGGUCCUGAAAGUGUUAAUAGCGGUUUCUCCUGAGAAAAUCAACAGCUGCUGAGGGGGAAUGUUAAAGAACGUGGCGUGUCUCCCAGAAAUCCUAUAUAAAUCAGCCAAUCAGAUGACGACUUGGAAA